AAUAUAAAUUUCAGGUCCGUUUCCUCUUCUAGCGAUCUUCAUCACUACUAACAAUCAAACCUCCUCUUUACUCCCAUCUUUAAGGUCUUUUGUUUCACCCCUCUCUCUAUCUAUUUCUUAUAAUUAUCGCCAUGAAUCUCAAAGAAGCUUUACGCCUCUCCUCUCCACAAACGGCCAAAAAAUCAAACAAUCGCCGCGACCGCUCUCCCCUCCCACCGCCGUCCCGCAGGGAUUACAAGAGGCGGCCUAUCGGGAGUCCUCCGCCGCCGUACAGAGACAGGCGGCACUCUCCUCCCAUGCGCCGCUCCUCCUCCUCCUAUGAUGGUCGGCGUGGUGGUUAUGGACCUCCCGAUCGAAGGAAUGAUAGAUUUGGAUAUGAGAAUGACCGUGAGAUGGGAGGAAGGCAUGGUUACGGUGAUGAAAGGCCUCCUGGCCGCUUUAUGGGGCGGGGCGUUAUCAAGACUGGGAGGGAGGUCGUGGAAGUUAUGGUGAUGCCUCUAACAGAGGAAGUACUCAAAGAUAUCAAGAAUACAAGUCAGAGUAUAUCACAACACAGAAACGUGUCUAUUUUAACGCUCACAAAGAGGAAGAAUGGUUAAAAGAUAAGUAUCAUCUAACCAACUUGCUAACUGUCAUAGAAAAGAGGAAUGAACAUGCACGGAAGGUGGCGAAGGACUUCUUACUUGACUUACAGAGCGGGAAUCUUGAUUUGUCCUGCAGUGACAGCAUUGAAUAAAACAAGUGAGCCAAAGUCUGAGGAUGAAGCAGAUGCUGAGGAUUGAACUUCCUUCAGCAUCUUCUGUCUUGGCGUGUACUGAUCAUAUGUUUUUGAAAAAGUAUGUGUGUAAGUAUGAUGACAAGGUGUUUGUGGACGAGUUAAUGGCUAUCUUCACCAAAGAUGGUGACUCAUAGAUAGAAAGCUUUGUUUUCUCCUUCCCAUUAAUUUUAGAUUUGUCUAUGAAAUUUUGUUGUCAUUCAAACUGUCAGUAAUCUUAUCAAUUGAUAUCAA